rnacentral:rRNA from 1 species
GGCGGGAUCGGUUUUUGGCGGUGCGCGCUACCUGCAGUCGAGCGGCAGCGGGAAGUACCUUGCUACUUUUGCCGGCGAGCGGCGGACGGGUGAGUAAUGCCUGGGAAAUUGCCCAGUCGAGGGGUAUAACAGGUGGAAACGACUGCUAAUACCGCAUACGCCCUACGGGGGAAAGCAGGGGACCUUCGGGCCUUGCGCGAUUGGAUAUGCCCAGGUGGGAUUAGCUAGUUGGUGAGGUAAUGGCUCACCAAGGCGACUAUCCCUAUCUGGUCUGAGAGGAUGAUCAGCCACACUGGAACUGACACACGGCCCACACUCCUACGGGAGGCAGCAGUGGGGAAUAUUGCACAGUGGGGGAAACCCUGAUGCAGCCAUGCCGCGUGUGUGAAGAAGGCCUUCGGGUUGUAAAGCACUUUCAGCGAGGAGGAAAGGUCAGUAUCUAAUAUCUGCUGGCUGUGACGUUACUCGCAAAACAAGCACCGGCUAACUCCGUGCCAGCACCCGCGGUAAUACGGAGGGUGCAAGCGUUAAUCAGAAUUACUGGGCGUAAAGCGCACGCACGCGGUUGGAUAAGUUAUAUGUGAAAGCCCCGGGCUCAACCUGGAAAUUGCAUUUAAAACUGUCCAGCUAGAGUCUUGUAGAGGGGGGUAGAAUUCCAGGUGUAGCGGUGAAAUGCAUAGAGAUCUGGAGGAAUACCGGUGGCGAACGCGGCCCCCUGGACAGACACUGACGCUCAUGUGCGAAAGCGUGGAGAGCAAACAGGAUUACAUACCCUGGUAGUCCACGCCGUAAACUAUGUCGAUUUGGAGGCUGUGUCCUUGAGACGUGUCCUCCAGAGCUACGCUUACUCCACCGCCUGGAGAGUACCGCCACAAGGUUAAACUCAGUGAGUGACGGGGGCCCGCACAAGCGGUGGAUCAUGUGUUUUAUUCGUGCACGAGAUAUCUUACCUGGUCGUGACAUGUCUUGUAUUCCUGAGAGAUGCUGCAGUGCCUUCGAGAACUCAAACACAUGUGCUGCAUGGCUGUCGUCAUCUCGUGUCGUGAUGAUGUUGGGAUAAGUCCCACAACCAGCCCCACUCCUUGUUCUUUCGUUGCUGCACGUGAUGGUGGUAACCUCAAAGAAACUGCCGAUGAUAGCCAGGAAGGAAGGUGAGAAUGACUCAGUCGUCCUGUCCCCUUACGGCCAGGCCUUCGCCUUGCUUACGUGCCCGAAAAAGGCUGCACCUACGGAUAGUUGCCACUUCCAAAGCGCGUGCUCCUGAUUCGGAGAUAUGGGAUGUUCGUG